rnacentral:ncRNA from 1 species
ACUAGAAUAAUCCGUCUGUAUGCGUAAAAUGCGCCGGAGCGUUAUACUACCGCUCUGUGGGGACGCCGAUGUAAUUUCGGGGCUAUCCCAGUAACCGUGAAGCUGAUGAAAGGGUAUUAAGUCACUGCCGCAGGGUGGGAAGGCACCCCAGUAAGAUGAAGCCAAGCCGGGAGACCUGUAUAGACAUUAUGCUUACC